rnacentral:rRNA from 1 species
AACGAACGCUGGCGGCAGGCUUAACACAUGCAAGUCGAGCGCCCCGCAAGGGGAGCGGCAGACGGGUGAGUAACACGUGGGGAUCUGCCCAAUGGUACGGAAUAGCUCCGGGAAACUGGAAAUAAUACCGUAUGUGCCCGCAAGGGGAAAGAUUUAUCGCCAUUGGAUGAACCCGCGUCGGAUUAGCUAGUUGGUGAGGUAAAGGCUCACCAAGGCGACGAUCCGUAGCUGGUCUGAGAGGAUGAUCAGCCACACUGGGACUGAGACACGGCCCAGACUCCUACGGGAGGCAGCAGUGGGGAAUAUUGGACAAUGGGCGCAAGCCUGAUCCAGCCAUGCCGCGUGAGUGAUGAAGGCCUUAGGGUUGUAAAGCUCUUUCGCCGACGAAGAUAUGACGGUAGUCGGAGAAGAAGCCCCGGCUAACUUCGUGCCAGCCGCCGCCGUAAGAC